GUUGGUGGGGGUAACGGCCUACCAAGGCAACGAUCAGUAGCCGGCCUGAGAGGGUGGACGGCCACACUGGGACUGAGACACGGCCCAGACUCCUACGGGAGGCAGCAGUGGGGAAUAUUGCGCAAUGGGGGAAACCCUGACGCAGCGACGCCGCGUGAGCGAAGAAGGCCUUAGGGUUGUAAAGCUCUGUUCUAUGGGACGAAGUCCUUGACUGUGAAUAAUGGUCAAGGUUGACGGUACCAUAGGAGGAAGCCCCGGCUAACUACGUGCCAGCAGCCGCGGUAAGACGUAGGGGGCGAGCGUUGUCCGGAAUUACUGGGCGUAAAGAGCACGUAGGCGGGACCUUAAGUCAGGUGUGAAAGACCGGAGCCUAACUCCGGGGUGGCACUUGAAACUGGGGUUCUUGAGGGCAGGAGAGGAAAGCAGAAUUCCUGGUGUAGCGGUGAAAUGCGUAGAAAUCAGGAGGAAUACCAGUGGCGAAGGCGGCUUUCUGGACUGACCCUGACGCUGAGGUGCGAAAGCGUGGGUAGCAAACAGGAUUAGAUACCCUGGUAGUCCACGCUGUAAACGAUGGAUACUAGGUGUGGGAGGUAUCGACCCCUUCCG
rnacentral:rRNA from 1 species